rnacentral:rRNA from 1 species
GCUAGUGUUCCAGUUGUGCCGCCAGGCGCAGUCGCUGGGUAGCCACGUACGGAAAGGAUAACCGCUGAAAGCAUCUAAGCGGGAAGCCUCCUUCAAGAUUAGGUAUCCCUGGGUGUAACAACCCCUGAAGGCCCGUUGUAGACCACAACGUUGAUAGGCCGGGUGUGUAAUCACAGCAAUGUGUUUAGCUUACCGGUACUAAUCGGCCGUGAGGCUUGACCAU